CUACGGGGGGUGCAAGCGUUAAUCGGAAUUACUGGGCGUAAAGCGCGCGUAGGCGGUUUGCUCAGUCGGAUGUGAAAGCCCAGGGCUCAACCUUGGAACUGCAUACGAUACUGGCAAACUAGAGUGUGCGAGAGGAUAGUGGAAUUUCCGGUGUAGCGGUGAAAUGCGUAGAUAUCGGAAGGAACAUCAGUGGCGAAGGCGACUGUCUGGCUCAACACUGACGCUGAGGUGCGAAAGCGUGGGUAGCAAACAGAAUUAGAAACCCUAGUAGUCC
rnacentral:rRNA from 1 species